CCUACGGGUGGCUGCAGUCGAGAAUCUUCGGCAAUGGACGCAAGUCUGACCGAGCGACGUCGCGUGCGGGAUGAAGGCCCUCGGGUUGUAAACCGCUGUCAGAGGGGAGGAAAUCAUGGUUGGCUAUCCUUCCAUGUUGACCGAGCCUCGGAGGAAGCACGGGCUAAGUUCGUGCCAGCAGCCGCGGUAAUACGAACUGUGCGAACGUUAUUCGGAAUCACUGGGCUUAAAGGGUGCGUAGGCGGCGACUUAAGUAGGGUGUGAAAUCUCCCGGCUCAACCGGGGAACUGCGCUCUAAACUGGGUUGCUCGAGUGAGAUAGAGGUGUGCGGAACUUCCGGUGGAGCGGUGAAAUGUGUUGAUAUCGGAGGGAACACCGUUGGCGAAAGCGGCACACUGGGUCUUAACUGACGCUGAGGCACGAAAGCCAGGGGAGCAAAC
rnacentral:rRNA from 1 species